rnacentral:tRNA from 1 species
UUUUGUCUAGUUUAAGAAAAAUAUUGGCUUGUCAAGCCAGCGUUGUAAAAAGUUUACGACGAAGU